CGUCCUGUAUCGGGUUUCUUAAACAGAGGUUGCUCCUCCUCGCUCAGGAGCGAUUCACGCUACGGCGGAUUCCUUUUCCUCGCACGGGAGUGAUUCACGCUACGGCGCAGGUACGACCGCUGCUCGUUUGCAGGGGCUUCGAGCGGAGCACCAGCACGCCGAAUAGGCUGCCACACUCGUCAGCCCCUGGAUUCGCUCUUUCGGAUUCGUGGAAUUGUGGAAUGGCAACCGCUAUUUCUCGUUGCACUGGCCCAUAUCUGGAGGGUAGGCCUACGAUGAACUUGGCCCCAUUAGCAGGGAGAGGAUGUGGUGGUACAAGAUGUGUAAGGCAAAAAGAAGGGAGAGGGCGAUAGAUAGGGUCCUGGACCUCUCCGCCCCGUAGCCAGUCCAUCAUCAUCUCCUCAGAUUCGCCUGCAGCCCCCUCACCGUGGUGUUCCAUCUCAUCCGACCAGACCGCACAGCGCGCGGCGCGCGGCGCGGCUCCACUGCAGGAGGCGUGUGCGCUCCCUUCUCUGCUGUGCGGCGACGCACCGCUCCUGUACAGGCGUGCGCCCCCCUCCCUCUCCAUCAUGAUGCGGAGACUGUCUCAUCGGAGCAGUUGGAGGAGGCCGUGCCAUCCCGUCGACACCUACCAGUCCUCGCCCCAGUCUUGCGACGUCCGCCGAGACAAGUACCCCCCCCCACUGCCUCCUUCAUCUCGCCUCAACCCCAAACCCUAGCAGCAGCUUUGAUUUGGUCUCUUCUUCCCUCUGGUUCCUCCGCCUUUCAAGACCAAAACGUGGAGAUUUGUGAGCUCCGUUUCUUUCUUCUCCUUUUUCCUCUCUCCUAAUCUGUAGCUUUUUUUAGUUUUGCCUUGCCCUAAUUUGCAACUUUUCGAUGUGGCUCGCUGUAGGCACCGCAAUGGCCUCAGGUGACCUGGGAGGGUAAGGGUUAAUUAGCAGCGGCCGGAUUGAAGCCUUUCAAGGUUCAGCUAGCGGUGCAGAAAAAAGAUGAGCCCGUAAGAUGUUUGCAGCUUCAGCUAGCAGUGCAGAAAAAAGAUGAGCCCUUACUGAAUCAGGUUCUUUUUUUCCCUUCAAUGAGUUUGCAGUUUCUACCUUCUUUUUUCAGUUUUUUACCCUUGCAGAUGCUCUAUUUCUUACCUUAGUCCGGUUGAUAUGUUUGAGUAAUUUUUAGUUGCUGCCUGCAAGGUAGUUGUUUAAUUCAUAAAUGUAUGAUUAGGCUACCAUACUUAUAUUGCCUCAUGUUUUAUGAUAUCAGUAGAUUUGUAAAUUUUUCUCUUUAAUAAAAAAUAAGUUGCUAUCAAUAGCAUAUUUAUCUGGAUAGCCCACCUUAACAGGUCAGUAGCUAGAGUUUGGCAUUAACGUUCCGCAUAGUUUAGCAUCACAGAUCUGGUAUUAUAAAGGGACAGUAACCAUAUUUUUGAAAAAAAGCAUUCUUAUUUGCAUGAAAAGGGACAAUAACCGUAGUUAUAUGAAUGAUAGCUUGGUUAACAUGAAAAUGAAUGCUGCUUCGCGUUAACCUGUCUGGAACAUUUGUUCCUAGAAUUUGGCAUGUCUGAAAUAGGUUCCUUUACUCUAACUCAAUAUGCUUAUUUUAUAUGAAUGAUAGCUUGGUUAACAUGAAAAUGAAUGCUGCUUCGCGUUAACCUGUCUGGAACAUGAGUUCCCAAAAUUUGGCAUGUCUGAAAUAGGUUCCUUUACUUAAACUCAAUAUGCUUAUUUGCUCUAGCUGAAAUGCGCUUAUAUAUUAUCUUUAUUCCUGUUACAAGGAGAAGAGUUUAUGUCUGUUGUUGCCUAAAUCUUCGUGUGGUUUCUGUCUUGGCAUUGCAAAGGUGAAUUCUUGCUACUUAGAAUAGAGUGGUGACCACAUAUUCUAUUUUUUCAGUUAUUGACAUAAAGAGUAAUCAUCCAGUCAAAUUGUACAAACUCCUAGAAAAAUGAUAAUGCCAUAUGGCUGCCAGUUUUUACAUGUUUUACCUAUGGUUUCUUCAAACCAUAUUCCAUCUAUGUGAUAUUUUGCUUCACCUUUACUGCUAAUCCAAAGGAGUAUAAGGAUGGAGCUGCUAAUUCAGCAACUAAGAUAGAAAAGACCACUACAAGGAAAAGGUCUAUAUUGCCAAUACAGAUUUGUGUUUUAUAGCAUGUCCAAUAAUAAUCUUAUACUAACAUGUACAAUUUUUAGGUCAUGCCCCUCACCUAGCAAGAAAAUUGCCAAAAAGACUGCAGCUUGAUGGAGACCAUGAAGAUGAAGAUGAUGCCUGUGUCCAUGACACUCCGAGGACUAGGUAUGCCCUUCCUACAAAACUUCUAGAUGAAACACAUAGCUACACUUGAUCAAAAAAUAUUAUCUUUAUUAAUCAUCACCAAUUUAUACAUUUGCUACAUUGCAAUAUUAUGAACAUAAUUUUUCUUAUUAACCAAAUAAUCUUUCUGCACUUACCCUCGCAAAACCCUUUUUGAUUUAGGUACUCCUACCAUGUUUACUUGCCUUCCUGCUUAUACAGUACAUAUCAUCCUUGCUAUUUUCUUCACAUAUCAUCUUUGGAUAUCAUAAUUGCUAUUUUCUUCACAUAUGAUAUUUGCUAUUUUCUUUAUACCUUAAUACAAAUUGUCAUUACACCUAUGUGAGGUAGCCACUUGUCACUGUAAACAUCUUGAAUUGUUGCUUCAUGUUAUCUUCAACUAUUUUAUAACCAACAGCUGUUCUCGAUAACUACAUUUACAGUUCUAGUGCCGAUGCUUAGAAGGAAGACGCGGAUCAGCUCAUUUUGUGUCUUCAAAGUUGCAGCCGUGCCCAGAUCUACAUCUGCUGAAUUGCUACUGCAUGCAAUAUAUUCAGCUUUAUAACCUGAUGCUCAGCAUCAAUUAACUCUAUUUUGGAUACUUUUAUGGCUGCAAACUGUGUUACAUCCUACUUCCUCUUUAAUAUAUUAGUACUCGCUUUUAUUUGGGUUAGCAUUCUAAGCUACCUAAUCCUCAAUUGUAAUAUAUGGCUUGACAAUGAUGCCAGGAAAAUUCAUGCUUUGACUUUUAACAUCUCUUGGGCAUUUUUUCUUAUCUAACAUCUCCUGUGCUUUUUUUCUGUUUAACAGAUGAUGGCAAACAUGAUGAAGAACAUGAGCCCUGAGAUGAUGGCAAACAUGAGCAAGCAAUUUGGAAUGAAGCUGUCAAAGGAGGACAUUCACUCAACAGUACUGUCGCCAUCGUUAACAUAUAUAUUUGCAUCAGACAAUUGCUAUGUGUUUGCCUAUCAUUCAAAGCAUUAUUAGAUUUGUAAUCUCUUCAGUUGCUAUAUUUCUAUGUUUCAAUAUGAAAUUUUAUGGUGUAUUUACUCCAAUAUAGAGAUAUUUCUAUAUUUCUACAUUA